rnacentral:lncRNA from 1 species
GAAAUUUCGAGUUUGUACACCGCGGACUAACUGAUUUAAAGGGGCGUAAAGAAACACUCGACCCGUAAAACGCGACUAGUAAUGUCCUCUUUUUGGAGAGUCAGAAUAUGGUCACCUUAAACCAGGUCCAAGACCCUGUUGAAUCUUAAUUGUUGCCUGACACUGUUAAGACCUGAAAGUGGGAUUAAAGUCAAAUGAUGAGGAUUAUGAUGAUUGAGACAAACCUAUUGAAGAUCUGUUCUAUCUAACUGUUCAUCUGUUUGGGGGGUCACAGUGGUGUACCUGUGACAGGGGUAGUAGUCUGGAGCAUUAGUUGCUGCUUUAGAUCACAUGAUUGACAUCAGUCAUUUUGCAGUUAGACCAGUGCGCAUGCAGACAACAUGGUUGUGAUUGUAAAGUGCUAUCUUGGUUGGCCCUAGAACACAGGAACAUGGAUGUAAGACUGAUUGUGUUCCUUGUGUUGACAGGAUGAUAAUCAGUGUCAGAUAAUUUAAAUCAGUGUAGAUGAUUGGUUGGAUAAAUAAAUAACCUUUAGCGUGAGUGAUUCAACUAACUGAAUUCAUUUGCAUGAAUGGUCCAUCAUAGGUGAUGUAGCUGGUUACUGAUAAUCCUAUAAUUUAAAUCAGUGUAGAUGAUAUUGAUAAAGUGUAUCCCUUAUGUAACUGUGUGGCUAAAAAAAAUCCACUUGGGGCAAAAUUUAGCCAGUAAUUUCCAUGUAACUUUUUUUAUACUGCAGCAAAUGGGAUGAUUUUUUGGGCGGAUGCCUAUAAUGAUGGACACUUUGAAAAUAUGACUUCAAAAUUUUCACCAGGUCAAAAAUACAGGCUGGGCAAAUUUUCUAUUCUUUGUUUACGCUCAGUGGCUAAAAAAAGCCACUUACUUUGACUGCUGUAAAACAUAUUGGGUUAAUAUUCUUUUCUCCAUUUUUUUCAUAUAUCUCUUCAAGUAACUUCUGCUUUGAUCAAAACUAGUAAAUGUUUCAUCUAAAAAUAUUUUUUUUAACCCUUUGAGGGUCCAUUCAAAGCAUAAUGUCACUGAUAUGGUAGAAAAAUACACAAAAAUGACCUAUUUUCAUCAUAAAACAUAUUCAGAAACAGGUGAUUUUUUACAUGUUGCAUAGUCUUGGCCUUGUGAAGGAUUAGGAACCUCAGAAACUAUGAUACAUUUUGUGUAAUGUCUAAUUUUCAUAGAAACUUUCACAAAACACUCAUAAAAACACUUGCACUAUUCAUGUCUUUUCCAUACUCGCAUUCUCUUUCGGUACCAGCUUGGUCGUAAUGUGCUGAGCCAGAACUCAGCUGUGUGUGUGUGUGUGUGUGUGUGUGUGUGUGUGUGUGUGUGUGUGUGUGUGUGUGUGUGUUCAGUGUUUGAAGCAAGACCUGCAGGACAUCACUCUGUGUUCAUGCCAGAUGUGUUUCACACAUAACUCACAGGUUUUGUUAGUUCUUUUUGACACCAAAACCGUUCCCAGGUCCUCCACGAAAAGCCUCCUCCUGAAUCACUUUCUCCGGUUCCAGGAGAGAUCCACAUCUCACAGCGAGGCAGUAGAUUCACCCCUCGAACAAAACAGGCCAGACAAUGAAGAUGGAUCCUGUGGGGGGUCAGAUUCCAUCUCAUCAGAAUCAAUGACAAUUGCAAGGGCCUCCGUGGUGCUGAAGCUUCUCUUCAUGCUUUCUCUUGCUCUUCUCAUGAAAAAAUGGUCAUUAGAAUCUGCAAGUUGUGGAUUGCAGGACAGCUCACUUUUGUUUUUGUUUAUUUUUUUCCCCCUCUCUGUACUUCUGAGAGCUGAAGAACAUAGUUAACUUUUGUGGCGGGGUCAGUGCUGGGUCAUGACUUGCAGGCUCCUCCCCUCUCUCUCUCACAUGCACACACUCACAUGCACGCAUGCACACACGCACGCAAACACACAUUUUUUGGGGCUUCCGAUUUUGUCUGGCCUGUUUGGAAACACAUCUGGCAUGACCACAGAGAGAUCUCCUGCCGGUCUUGCUUCAAACAUUGAACACACAAACACACACACACACUCACUCACUCACUCACUCACUCACUCACUCACUCACUCACUCACUCAAACACACUUUUACAUUUUAUCUCUCUUUGCUCACUCAAUUUCUCACACAUUCGCUCUCUUAGGCUCCCCAGGUUUCUUUCAGUCCUCUCCACCGCUUCACCCUCAAAAGUUAGUCGUUUGUUCUGGUUUGAUACUCUGUUGUUGUGUAUUUAUGGCUUUUGUUUUAUUGCAUUUUGAGCGAUAAAAUAUGGUUUGGUUCUAAUGUUAACAUUGGUUACAUUUUUUCGUUUUUUCCUAAUAUUAGUGGGUGUAUGUUUUAAAUUGACCCUUAAAGGGUUAAAAUUUUGAUUUUUAAUGACACAUUUACUAGUUUUGAAUACAGCAGAAGUUAAUUAAGAGAUGUGUGAAAAAAAUCUAGAAAAAAUAUGAAUCCAAUAUGUUUUUACAGCGGUUAAUAUCAGUGAUUUUUUUUAGCCACUGAGCAUUAACAACUGAUCUAAAUCUAACGGUUUCACAAGGGUUAUGUAUGCUGUCAAACAAAAUAUAAUAUUGUUAGCUUUUGUUUUUUUAUUAAUCAACAUGUCUGAGAUCAAUUUUUAAAUUGAUUGUAUCUGUGUAAUUGAGUUUGUAAUUAAUCAGUCAUAUCCAUGAUUGACCUUUUAUAUUUAUUCUCAGGUGCUGAGGUGAAAACAGGCUGUGAACUAGCAAAGCCCAAGGUCAUGAAGACAUCUUUGGGCUCUGGAAAUCAAGAGGUACACUACAAUUUAGCAUAAAAUGUGUAUAAAUACACACAAGAUCAACUAUGCAUAUCCUCGGUCUUAAAACCUUGAUCUUUAAAUUAUUGAGGUAGUUCUAUAUUUAAUAGGCCUUGGUGUCUCAGCACAUACAGGAUAUUUAUGUCACAGCAGCCCAGCUUUCCUUUGUUGUCUUGUGUAAUGAAAGAAAAAGGGGAAUAGAUGUUCAAUUUGGUUCACCAUUGUAGUUAAAACUAUAUUUUCUGUUUUUUGCAGGCCCAGUAGCAUCUGCUUCGUCAUCUGGACAAGCUAAAAGAUCAUCACAAUGUCUGUGAACGGCGAUUUGAGAAGGCACAGGCUGAAAAGAUGCAAACGGAGAGGCAGAGCACAUUCGGUCCUGAAGGCUUGAACGAACUGGUAAGUUUGAAAAGGGGGUGUGUGAUAAUUUUUCAUUUAAUUGUCAGAUCAUAAGCUUGAUUUUAUAAUGUUUUUCUAAAUAGAAAAAAAUUUUUUUAUCCAAAAUUAGUAAAUGUAAAAAUAACUCAGAAUAGGAUCCGAUUAUUAGAUCAAUCUAUAUAUACAUAUCUUUAAAUUUACUGUAGCAUCCUGGUUGAUUUAUGGUCUGACUUUCCAACUGAUGUUUCACAAAGUUUUAUUUUUAAAAUGGUUCCUUUAAACUUCCAUCUUUGAACUUCCAUUAAAGAGUGUGAACACACCGCAAGAGCUAGCGAAAAAAAACAAUAGGAACAAUAUUAAUACACUUUCUGUAACAGAAAAUCGUUUGAUUAAAAUUAUAUAUUUUAUACACCUUCAAGAACAAUGAAAUCAACUUUCUUGUGUUAACUGUGUCAUCUGUGUUAACUGUAACCAUCAUCGUAACUGUAGCAUCUUUACUAGUACUCAGCAACACGAAACUCGAUCAAAUUUCAUAAAAACUCUUAAAAAGGCACUUCAUAUUAAUUUGUGUGAGAAAAGAAGCAUAUUCGAAUGUUGUGCCUCUAUCAACCAGGUACUUUAAACAACUUAAGAGAUCCUUAUUGACGAUUGUGAUCCUGACUUUUCAUAUCUUUUACUGUUCAUUGACUUCUAACUUCCGGUGAAAAUUCUUUCAAAAUAAGGGGAUCGGUCUCUGUUAUAUUACUCACAGGAAAUAAAAUAAUAGAAAAUAGGGAUUUUAACUUCAAAAUAAGACUGCUGAUACAAACACAUAAUGUGGGUCAUUUACAUUUAGAAUAGCAUGAAAAAGUUUAAUACUUUUUGUCACUUAUUUCAGAAAAUGAAACCUAGUCCCUCUUCUCUUUUUUGCUUUCCAUGACCCAGGUUCGGUGUCCACAGCUCAGAAUCAAGUCACACACCCUAAAUUUCACCUUUAGUGUGAGUGUUUCAACUAACUGAAUUCAUUUGCAUGAAAGGUCUAACAUUGGUGAUGUAGCUGGUUACUGAAAAUCAUAUCAUUAAAAUCAGUGUAGAUGAUAUUGGUAAAGAUGAGUAAGUAUCAAGGCAAUAACGUUUAGUUUUUAUCUCUGAUGAUCGUGCAUUUUUUAAAGUUUAUCCCUAAUGUAACGGUGUGGCUAAAAAAAGCCACUUGGGGCAAGAUUUAGACUUAAAAACAGGCAACUGGACUGUGUAGAGUUGAGAAGGCGUUUUGCCUCUUAUCCAAGAAGCUUCUUCAGUUCUAAAAUUGCUAGUGUGAGGAGCAGAUAUUUAUCUUACUGGAGAAGGGAACAGACAACGACUGGGAGGAGUUGGAAAGAAUGGGUCGUAGAAACCCAUAUCUGGGUGUCUCUCUUUCCAACCUUGCUUACCAACCUUGCUUACCUAACCUUUCAGGUUUGGUAAGCACACACACACAUGUUCACACACACACACACACACACACACACACACACACACAUUUGACUCCAGAGGUGGAAGAAGUGGCACUUAUUAUCUGACACUGAUUAUCAUCCUGUCAACACAAGGAACACAAUCAGUCUUACAUCCAUUGAUAAUAUGACUUCAAAAUUUUCACCAGGUCAAAAAUACGGGCUGGGCAAAUUUUCUAUUCUUUGUUUACACUCAGUGGCUAAAAAAGCCACUAACUUUGACUGCUGUAAAAAGAUAUUGGGUUAAUAUUUUUUUUCAGUUUUUUUCAUAUAUCUCUUAAGUAACUUCUGCUUUGAUCAAAACUAGUAAAUGUUUCAUAUAAAAACAUUUUUUUAACCCUUUGAGGGUCCAUUCAAAGCAUAAUGUCACUGAUAUGGUAGACAUAUACACAAAAAUGACCUAUUUUCAUCAUAAAGCAUAAUCAGAAACAGGUGAUUUUUUACAUGUUGCAUGGUCUUGGCCUUUUGAAGGAUUAGAAACCUCAGAAACUAUGAUACAUUUUGUGUAAUGUCUAAUUUUCAUAGAAACUUUCACAAAACACUCAUAAAACACUUGCACUAUUUAUGUCUUUUCUAUACUCGCAUUCUCUUUCGGUACCAGCUUGGUCGUAAUGUGCUGAGCCAGGACUCAGCUCUGUGUGUGUGUGUGUGUGUUCAGUGUUUGAAGCAAGACCUGCAGGACAUCACUCUGUGUUCAUGCCAGAUGUGUUUCACACAUAACUCACAGGUUUUGUUAGUUCUUUUUGACACCAAAGCUGUUCCCAGGUCCUCCACGAAAAGCCUCCUCCUGAAUCACUUUCUCCGGUUCCAGGAGAGAUCCACAUCUCACAGCAAGGCAGUAGAUUCACCCCUCGAACAAAACAGGGCAGACAAUGAAGAUGGAUCCUGUGGGGGGUCAGAUUCCAUCCCAUCAGAAUCAAUGACAAUUGCAAGGGCCUCCGUGGUGCUGAAGCUUCUCUUCAUGCUUUCUCUUGCUCUUCUCAUGAAAAAAUGGUCAUUAGAAUCUGCAAGUUGUGGAUUGCAGGACAGCUCACUUUUGUUUUUGUUUAUUUUUUUCCCCCUCUCUGUACUUCUGAGAGCUGAAGAACAUAGUUAACUUUUGUGGCGGGGUCAGUGCUGGGUCAUGACCUGCAGGCUCCUCCCCUCUCUCUCUCACAUGCACACACUCACAUGCACGCAUGCACACACGCACGCAAACACACAUUUUUUGGGGCUUCCGAUUUUGUCUGGCCUGUUUGGAAACACAUCUGGCAUGACCACAGAGAGAUCUCCUGCCGGUCUUGCUUCAAACAUUGAACACACAAACACACUCACUCACUCACUGACUCACUCACUCACUCACUCACUCACUCACUCACUCACUCACUCACUCACUCACUCACUCACUCACUCACUCACUCACUCACUCACUCACUCACUCACUCACUCACUCACUCACUCACUCACUCACUCACUCACUCACUCACUCACUCAAACACACUUUUACAUUUUAUCUCUCUUUGCUCACUCAAUUUCUCACACAUUCGCUCUCUUAGGCUCCCCAGGUUUCUUUCAGUCCUCUCCACCGCUUCACCCUCAAAAGUUAGUCGUUUGUUCUGGUUUGAUACUCUGUUGUUGUGUAUUUAUGGCUUUUGUUUUAUUGCAUUUUGAGCGAUAAAAUAUGGUUUGGUUCUAAUGUUAACAUUGGUUACAUUUUUUCGUUUUUUCCUAAUAUUAGUGGGUGUAUGUUUUAAAUUGACCCUUAAAGGGUUAAAAUUUUGAUUUUUAAUGACACAUUUACUAGUUUUGAAUACAGCAGAAGUUAAUUAAGAGAUGUGUGAAAAAAAUCUAGAAAAAAUAUGAAUCCAAUAUGUUUUUACAGCGGUUAAUAUCAGUGAUUUUUUUUAGCCACUGAGCAUUAACAACUGAUCUAAAUCUAACGGUUUCACAAGGGUUAUGUAUGCUGUCAAACAAAAUAUAAUAUUGUUAGCUUUUGUUUUUUUAUUAAUCAACAUGUCUGAGAUCAAUUUUUAAAUUGAUUGUAUCUGUGUAAUUGAGUUUGUAAUUAAUCAGUCAUAUCCAUGAUUGACCUUUUAUAUUUAUUCUCAGGUGCUGAGGUGAAAACAGGCUGUGAACUAGCAAAGCCCAAGGUCAUGAAGACAUCUUUGGGCUCUGGAAAUCAAGAGGUACACUACAAUUUAGCAUAAAAUGUGUAUAAAUACACACAAGAUCAACUAUGCAUAUCCUCGGUCUUAAAACCUUGAUCUUUAAAUUAUUGAGGUAGUUCUAUAUUUAAUAGGCCUUGGUGUCUCAGCAGCACAUACAGGAUAUUUAUGUCACAGCAGCCCAGCUUUCCUUUGUUGUCUUGUGUAAUGAAAGAAAAAGGGGAAUAGAUGUUCAAUUUGGUUCACCAUUGUAGUUAAAACUAUAUUUUCUGUUUUUUGCAGGCCCAGUAGCAUCUGCUUCGUCAUCUGGACAAGCUAAAAGAUCAUCACAAUGUCUGUGAACGGCGAUUUGAGAAGGCACAGGCUGAAAAGAUGCAAACGGAGAGGCAGAGCACAUUCGGUCCUGAAGGCUUGAACGAACUGGUAAGUUUGAAAAGGGGGUGUGUGAUAAUUUUUCAUUUAAUUGUCAGAUCAUAAGCUUGAUUUUAUAAUGUUUUUCUAAAUAGAAAAAAAUUUUUGUUAUCCAAAAUUAGUAAAUGUAAAAAUAACUCAGAAUAGGAUCCGAUUAUUAGAUCAAUCUAUAUAUACAUAUCUUUAAAUUUACUGUAGCAUCCUGGUUGAUUUAUGGUCUGACUUUCCAACUGAUGUUUCACAAAGUUUUAUUUUUAAAAUGGUUCCUUUAAACUUCCAUCUUUGAACUUCCAUUAAAGAGUGUGAACACACCGCAAGAGCUAGCGAAAAAAAACAAUAGGAACAAUAUUAAUACACUUUCUGUAACAGAAAAUCGUUUGAUUAAAAUUAUAUAUUUUAUACACCUUCAAGAACAAUGAAAUCAACUUUCUUGUGUUAACUGUGUCAUCUGUGUUAACUGUAACCAUCAUCGUAACUGUAGCAUCUUUACUAGUACUCAGCAACACGAAACUCGAUCAAAUUUCAUAAAAACUCUUAAAAAGGCACUUCAUAUUAAUUUGUGUGAGAAAAGAAGCAUAAUGUUGUGCCUCUAUCAACCAGGUACUUUACAACUUAAGAGAUCCUUAUUGACGAUUGUGAUCCUGACUUUUCAUAUCUUUUACUGUUCAUUGACUUCUAACUUCCGGUGAAAAUUCUUUCAAAAUAAGGGGAUCGGUCUCUGUUAUAUUACUCACAGGAAAUAAAAUAAUAGAAAAUAGGGAUUUUAACUUCAAAAUAAGACUGCUGAUACAAACACAUAAUGUGGGUCAUUUACAUUUAGAAUAGCAUGAAAAAGUUUAAUACUUUUUGUCACUUAUUUCAGAAAAUGAAACCUAGUCCCUUUUCUCUUUUUUGCUUUCCAUGACCCAGGUUCGCUCUACACUGCUCAGAAUCAAGUCACACACCCUAAAUUUCACCUUUAGUGUGAGUGUUUCAACUAACUGAAUUCAUUUGCAUGAAAGGUCUAACAUUGGUGAUGUAGCUGGUUACUGAAAAUCAUAUCAUUAAAAUCAGUGUAGAUGAUAUUGGUAAAGAUGAGUAAGUAUCAAGGCAAUAACGUUUAGUUUUUAUCUCUGAUGAUCGUGCAUUUUUUAAAGUUUAUCCCUAAUGUAACGGUGUGGCUAAAAAAAGCCACUUGGGGCAAGAUUUAGACUUAAAAACAGGCAACUGGACUGUGUAGAGUUGAGAAGGCGUUUUGCCUCUUAUCCAAGAAGCUUCUUCAGUUCUAAAAUUGCUAGUGUGAGGAGCAGAUAUUUAUCUUACUGGAGAAGGGAACAGACAACGACUGGGAGGAGUUGGAAAGAAUGGGUCGUAGAAACCCAUAUCUGGGUGUCUCUCUUUCCAACCUUGCUUACCAACCUUGCUUACCUAACCUUUCAGGUUUGGUAAGCACACACACACAUGUUCACACACACACACACACACACACACAUUUGACUCCAGAGGUGGAAGAAGUGGCACUUAUUAUCUGACACUGAUUAUCAUCCUGUCAACACAAGGAACACAAUCAGUCUUACAUCCAUUGAUAAUAUGACUUCAAAAUUUUCACCAGGUCAAAAAUACGGGCUGGGCAAAUUUUCUAUUCUUUGUUUACACUCAGUGGCUAAAAAAGCCACUAACUUUGACUGCUGUAAAAAGAUAUUGGGUUAAUAUUUUUUUUCAGUUUUUUUCAUAUAUCUCUUAAGUAACUUCUGCUUUGAUCAAAACUAGUAAAUGUUUCAUAUAAAAACAUUUUUUUAACCCUUUGAGGGUCCAUUCAAAGCAUAAUGUCACUGAUAUGGUAGACAUAUACACAAAAAUGACCUAUUUUCAUCAUAAAGCAUAAUCAGAAACAGGUGAUUUUUUACAUGUUGCAUGGUCUUGGCCUUUUGAAGGAUUAGAAACCUCAGAAACUAUGAUACAUUUUGUGUAAUGUCUAAUUUUCAUAGAAACUUUCACAAAACACUCAUAAAACACUUGCACUAUUUAUGUCUUUUCUAUACUCGCAUUCUCUUUCGGUACCAGCUUGGUCGUAAUGUGCUGAGCCAGGACUCAGCUCUGUGUGUGUGUGUGUGUGUUCAGUGUUUGAAGCAAGACCUGCAGGACAUCACUCUGUGUUCAUGCCAGAUGUGUUUCACACAUAACUCACAGGUUUUGUUAGUUCUUUUUGACACCAAAGCUGUUCCCAGGUCCUCCACGAAAAGCCUCCUCCUGAAUCACUUUCUCCGGUUCCAGGAGAGAUCCACAUCUCACAGCAAGGCAGUAGAUUCACCCCUCGAACAAAACAGGGCAGACAAUGAAGAUGGAUCCUGUGGGGGGUCAGAUUCCAUCCCAUCAGAAUCAAUGACAAUUGCAAGGGCCUCCGUGGUGCUGAAGCUUCUCUUCAUGCUUUCUCUUGCUCUUCUCAUGAAAAAAUGGUCAUUAGAAUCUGCAAGUUGUGGAUUGCAGGACAGCUCACUUUUGUUUUUGUUUAUUUUUUCCCCCUCUCUGUACUUCUGAGAGCUGAAGAACAUAGUUAACUUUUGUGGCGGGGUCAGUGCUGGGUCAUGACCUGCAGGCUCCUCCCCUCUCUCUCUCACAUGCACACACUCACAUGCACGCAUGCACACACGCACGCAAACACACAUUUUUUGGGGCUUCCGAUUUUGUCUGGCCUGUUUGGAAACACAUCUGGCAUGACCACAGAGAGAUCUCCUGCCGGUCUUGCUUCAAACAUUGAACACACAAACACACUCACUCACUCACUGACUCACUGACUCACUCACUGACUCACUCACUCACUCACUCACUCACUCACUCACUCACUCACUCACUCACUCACUCACUCACUCACUCACUCACUCACUCACUCACUCACUCACUCACUCACUCACUCACUCAAACACACUUUUACAUUUUAUCUCUCUUUGCUCACUCAAUUUCUCACACAUUCGCUCUCUUAGGCUCCCCAGGUUUCUUUCAGUCCUCUCCACCGCUUCACCCUCAAAAGUUAGUCGUUUGUUCUGGUUUGAUACUCUGUUGUUGUGUAUUUAUGGCUUUUGUUUUAUUGCAUUUUGAGCGAUAAAAUAUGGUUUGGUUCUAAUGUUAACAUUGGUUACAUUUUUUCGUUUUUUCCUAAUAUUAGUGGGUGUAUGUUUUAAAUUGACCCUUAAAGGGUUAAAAUUUAGAUUUUUAAUGACACAUUUACUAGUUUUGAAUACAGCAGAAGUUAAUUAAGAGAUGUGUGAAAAAAAUCUAGAAAAAAUAUGAAUCCAAUAUGUUUUUACAGCGGUUAAUAUCAGUGAUUUUUUUUAGCCACUGAGCAUUAACAACUGAUCUAAAUCUAACGGUUUCACAAGGGUUAUGUAUGCUGUCAAACAAAAUAUAAUAUUGUUAGCUUUUGUUUUUUUAUUAAUCAACAUGUCUGAGAUCAAUUUUUAAAUUGAUUGUAUCUGUGUAAUUGAGUUUGUAAUUAAUCAGUCAUAUCCAUGAUUGACCUUUUAUAUUUAUUCUCAGGUGCUGAGGUGAAAACAGGCUGUGAACUAGCAAAGCCCAAGGUCAUGAAGACAUCUUUGGGCUCUGGAAAUCAAGAGGUACACUACAAUUUAGCAUAAAAUGUGUAUAAAUACACACAAGAUCAACUAUGCAUAUCCUCGGUCUUAAAACCUUGAUCUUUAAAUUAUUGAGGUAGUUCUAUAUUUAAUAGGCCUUGGUGUCUCAGCACAUACAGGAUAUUUAUGUCACAGCAGCCCAGCUUUCCUUUGUUGUCUUGUGUAAUGAAAGAAAAAGGGGAAUAGAUGUUCAAUUUGGUUCACCAUUGUAGUUAAAACUAUAUUUUCUGUUUUUUGCAGGCCCAGUAGCAUCUGCUUCGUCAUCUGGACAAGCUAAAAGAUCAUCACAAUGUCUGUGAACGGCGAUUUGAGAAGGCACAGGCUGAAAAGAUGCAAACGGAGAGGCAGAGCACAUUCGGUCCUGAAGGCUUGAACGAACUGGUAAGUUUGAAAAGGGGGUGUGUGAUAAUUUUUCAUUUAAUUGUCAGAUCAUAAGCUUGAUUUUAUAAUGUUUUUCUAAAUAGAAAAAAAUGUUUUAGUUUUCCAAAAUUAGUAAAUAUAUACAUAUCUUUAAAUUUACUGUAGCAUCCUGGUUGAUUUAUGGUCUGACUCUCCAACUGAUGUUUCACAAAGUUUUAUUUUUAAAAUGGUUCCUUUAAACUUCCAUCUUUGAACUUCCAUUAAAGAGUGUGAACACACCGCAAGAGCUAGCGAAAAAAAACAAUAGGAACAAUAUUAAUACACUUUCUGUAACAGAAAAUCGUUUGAUUAAAAUUAUAUAUUUUAUACACCUUCAAGAACAAUGAAAUCAACUUUCUUGUGUUAACUGUGUCAUCUGUGUUAACUGUAACCAUCAUCGUAACUGUAGCAUCUUUACUAGUACUCAGCAACACGAAACUCGAUCAAAUUUCAUAAAAACUCUUAAAAAGGCACUUCAUAUUAAUUUGUGUGAGAAAAGAAGCAUAUUCGAAUGUUGUGCCUCUAUCAACCAGGUACUUUAAACAACUUAAGAGAUCCUUAUUGACGAUUGUGAUCCUGACUUUUCAUAUCUUUUACUGUUCAUUGACUUCUAACUUCCGGUGAAAAUUCUUUCAAAAUAAGGGGAAUGGUCUCUGUUAUAUUACUCACAGGAAAUAAAAUAAUAGAAAAUAGGGAUUUUAACUUCAAAAUAAGACUGCUGAUACAAACACAUAAUGUGGGUCAUUUACAUUUAGAAUAGCAUGAAAAAGUUUAAUACUUUUUGUCACUUAUUUCAGAAAAUGAAACCUAGUCCCUUUUCUCUUUUUUGCUUUCCAUGACCCAGGUUCGCUCUACACUGCUCAGAAUCAAGUCACACACCCUAAAUUUCACCUUUAGUGUGAGUGUUUCAACUAACUGAAUUCAUUUGCAUGAAAGGUCUAACAUUGGUGAUGUAGCUGGUUACUGAAAAUCAUAUCAUUAAAAUCAGUGUAGAUGAUAUUGGUAAAGAUGAGUAAGUAUCAAGGCAAUAACGUUUAGUUUUUAUCUCUGAUGAUCGUGCAUUUUUUAAAGUUUAUCCCUAAUGUAACGGUGUGGCUAAAAAAAGCCACUUGGGGCAAGAUUUAGACUUAAAAACAGGCAACUGGACUGUGUAGAGUUGAGAAGGCGUUUUGCCUCUUAUCCAAGAAGCUUCUUCAGUUCUAAAAUUGCUAGUGUGAGGAGCAGAUAUUUAUCUUACUGGAGAAGGGAACAGACAACGACUGGGAGGAGUUGGAAAGAAUGGGUCGUAGAAACCCAUAUCUGGGUGUCUCUCUUUCCAACCUUGCUUACCAACCUUGCUUACCUAACCUUUCAGGUUUGGUAAGCACACACACACAUGUUCACACACACACACACACACACACACAUUGACUCCAGAGGUGGAAGAAGUGGCACUUAUUAUCUGACACUGAUUAUCAUCCUGUCAACACAAGGAACACAAUCAGUCUUACAUCCAUUGAUAAUAUGACUUCAAAAUUUUCACCAGGUCAAAAAUACGGGCUGGGCAAAUUUUCUAUUCUUUGUUUACACUCAGUGGCUAAAAAAGCCACUAACUUUGACUGCUGUAAAAAGAUAUUGGGUUAAUAUUUUUUUUCAGUUUUUUUCAUAUAUCUCUUAAGUAACUUCUGCUUUGAUCAAAACUAGUAAAUGUUUCAUAUAAAAACAUUUUUUUAACCCUUUGAGGGUCCAUUCAAAGCAUAAUGUCACUGAUAUGGUAGACAUAUACACAAAAAUGACCUAUUUUCAUCAUAAAGCAUAAUCAGAAACAGGUGAUUUUUUACAUGUUGCAUGGUCUUGGCCUUUUGAAGGAUUAGAAACCUCAGAAACUAUGAUACAUUUUGUGUAAUGUCUAAUUUUCAUAGAAACUUUCACAAAACACUCAUAAAACACUUGCACUAUUUAUGUCUUUUCUAUACUCGCAUUCUCUUUCGGUACCAGCUUGGUCGUAAUGUGCUGAGCCAGGACUCAGCUCUGUGUGUGUGUGUGUGUGUUCAGUGUUUGAAGCAAGACCUGCAGGACAUCACUCUGUGUUCAUGCCAGAUGUGUUUCACACAUAACUCACAGGUUUUGUUAGUUCUUUUUGACACCAAAGCUGUUCCCAGGUCCUCCACGAAAAGCCUCCUCCUGAAUCACUUUCUCCGGUUCCAGGAGAGAUCCACAUCUCACAGCAAGGCAGUAGAUUCACCCCUCGAACAAAACAGGGCAGACAAUGAAGAUGGAUCCUGUGGGGGGUCAGAUUCCAUCCCAUCAGAAUCAAUGACAAUUGCAAGGGCCUCCGUGGUGCUGAAGCUUCUCUUCAUGCUUUCUCUUGCUCUUCUCAUGAAAAAAUGGUCAUUAGAAUCUGCAAGUUGUGGAUUGCAGGACAGCUCACUUUUGUUUUUGUUUAUUUUUUCCCCCUCUCUGUACUUCUGAGAGCUGAAGAACAUAGUUAACUUUUGUGGCGGGGUCAGUGCUGGGUCAUGACCUGCAGGCUCCUCCCCUCUCUCUCUCACAUGCACACACUCACAUGCACGCAUGCACACACGCACGCAAACACACAUUUUUUGGGGCUUCCGAUUUUGUCUGGCCUGUUUGGAAACACAUCUGGCAUGACCACAGAGAGAUCUCCUGCCGGUCUUGCUUCAAACAUUGAACACACAAACACACACACUCACUCACUCACUCACUCACUCACUCACUCACUCACUCACUCACUCACUCACUCACUCACUCACUCACUCACUCACUCACUCACUCACUCACUCAAACACACUUUUACAUUUUAUCUCUCUUUGCUCACUCAAUUUCUCACACAUUCGCUCUCUUAGGCUCCCCAGGUUUCUUUCAGUCCUCUCCACCGCUUCACCCUCAAAAGUUAGUCGUUUGUUCUGGUUUGAUACUCUGUUGUUGUGUAUUUAUGGCUUUUGUUUUAUUGCAUUUUGAGCGAUAAAAUAUGGUUUGGUUCUAAUGUUAACAUUGGUUACAUUUUUUCGUUUUUUCCUAAUAUUAGUGGGUGUAUGUUUUAAAUUGACCCUUAAAGGGUUAAAAUUUUGAUUUUUAAUGACACAUUUACUAGUUUUGAAUACAGCAGAAGUUAAUUAAGAGAUGUGUGAAAAAAAUCUAGAAAAAAUAUGAAUCCAAUAUGUUUUUACAGCGGUUAAUAUCAGUGAUUUUUUUUAGCCACUGAGCAUUAACAACUGAUCUAAAUCUAACGGUUUCACAAGGGUUAUGUAUGCUGUCAAACAAAAUAUAAUAUUGUUAGCUUUUGUUUUUUUAUUAAUCAACAUGUCUGAGAUCAAUUUUUAAAUUGAUUGUAUCUGUGUAAUUGAGUUUGUAAUUAAUCAGUCAUAUCCAUGAUUGACCUUUUAUAUUUAUUCUCAGGUGCUGAGGUGAAAACAGGCUGUGAACUAGCAAAGCCCAAGGUCAUGAAGACAUCUUUGGGCUCUGGAAAUCAAGAGGUACACUACAAUUUAGCAUAAAAUGUGUAUAAAUACACACAAGAUCAACUAUGCAUAUCCUCGGUCUUAAAACCUUGAUCUUUAAAUUAUUGAGGUAGUUCUAUAUUUAAUAGGCCUUGGUGUCUCAGCACAUACAGGAUAUUUAUGUCACAGCAGCCCAGCUUUCCUUUGUUGUCUUGUGUAAUGAAAGAAAAAGGGGAAUAGAUGUUCAAUUUGGUUCACCAUUGUAGUUAAAACUAUAUUUUCUGUUUUUUGCAGGCCCAGUAGCAUCUGCUUCGUCAUCUGGACAAGCUAAAAGAUCAUCACAAUGUCUGUGAACGGCGAUUUGAGAAGGCACAGGCUGAAAAGAUGCAAACGGAGAGGCAGAGCACAUUCGGUCCUGAAGGCUUGAACGAACUGGUAAGUUUGAAAAGGGGGUGUGUGAUAAUUUUUCAUUUAAUUGUCAGAUCAUAAGCUUGAUUUUAAAAUGUUUUUCUAAAUAGAAAAAAAAUUUUUGUUAUCCAAAAUUAGUAAAUGUAAAAAUAACUCAGAAUAGGAUCCGAUUAUUAGAUCAAUCUAUAUAUACAUAUCUUUAAAUUUACUGUAGCAUCCUGGUUGAUUUAUGGUCUGACUUUCCAACUGAUGUUUCACAAAGUUUUAUUUUUAAAAUGGUUCCUUUAAACUUCCAUCUUUGAACUUCCAUUAAAGAGUGUGAACACACCGCAAGAGCUAGCGAAAAAACAAUAGGAACAAUAUUAAUACACUUUCUGUCACAGAAAAUCGUUUGAUUAAAAUUAUAUAUUUUAUACACCUUCAAGAACAAUGAAAUCAACUUUCUUGUGUUAACUGUGUCAUCUGUGUUAACUGUAACCAUCAUCGUAACUGUAGCAUCUUUACUAGUACUCAGCAACACGAAACUCGAUCAAAUUUCAUAAAAACUCUUAAAAAGGCACUUCAUAUUAAUUUGUGUGAGAAAAGAAGCAUAUGUUGUGCCUCUAUCAACCAGGUACUUUACAACUUAAGAGAUCCUUAUUGACGAUUGUGAUCCUGACUUUUCAUAUCUUUUACUGUUCAUUGACUUCUAACUUCCGGUGAAAAUUCUUUCAAAAUAAGGGGAUCGGUCUCUGUUAUAUUACUCACAGGAAAUAAAAUAAUAGAAAAUAGGGAUUUUAACUUCAAAAUAAGACUGCUGAUACAAACACAUAAUGUGGGUCAUUUACAUUUAGAAUAGCAUGAAAAAGUUUAAUACUUUUUGUCACUUAUUUCAGAAAAUGAAACCUAGUCCCUUUUCUCUUUUUUGCUUUCCAUGACCCAGGUUCGCUCUACACUGCUCAGAAUCAAGUCACACACCCUAAAUUUAACCUUUAGUGUGAGUGUUUCAACUAACUGAAUUCAUUUGCAUGAAAGGUCUAACAUUGGUGAUGUAGCUGGUUACUGAAAAUCAUAUCAUUAAAAUCAGUGUAGAUGAUAUUGGUAAAGAUGAGUAAGUAUCAAGGCAAUAACGUUUAGUUUUUAUCUCUGAUGAUCGUGCAUUUUUUAAAGUUUAUCCCUAAUGUAACGGUGUGGCUAAAAAAAGCCACUUGGGGCAAGAUUUAGACUUAAAAACAGGCAACUGGACUGUGUAGAGUUGAGAAGGCGUUUUGCCUCUUAUCCAAGAAGCUUCUUCAGUUCUAAAAUUGCUAGUGUGAGGAGCAGAUAUUUAUCUUACUGGAGAAGGGAACAGACAACGACUGGGAGGAGUUGGAAAGAAUGGGUCGUAGAAACCCAUAUCUGGGUGUCUCUCUUUCCAACCUUGCUUACCAACCUUGCUUACCUAACCUUUCAGGUUUGGUAAGCACACACACACAUGUUCACACACACACACACACACACACACACACACACACACACACACACACACACACACACACACACACACCACCUUCUUCUUUUGUUGAUGUAUUUUGAGCAAUAAAAUAUGGUUGUGUUCCAAUCUUAUAUUGUUUGUUACACACACACUCACACAUGCACGCACACACAUGCAUGCACGUGCACACAAAUGCACGCACGUGCACACAAACACACACUGAAUUCUGUCUCACACAUGACUACCACCUGCAGUCAGUGAAAGAGAAUGCUCUGAUGUUAGUAUAGGGAAUGCACUUAUAAAACCACUUAAUCAAUGCAGUUUUUAUGAAAAUCUGUUACACAAAAAUGUACCAAACAUUCUGAUGUUUCUAAUCCUCCACAUGCCCAAGCCUAUGCACCUUGUAAAAAAUCACCAGCUUCGGAUUAUGUUUUAUUAAAAAAAUAGGUCAUUUUCCUUCCUUUUUUUUUUUUUGCUUUAUAAGUGACUUUAGAUCUCAAAUGGGCCCUUAAAGGGUUAAAAUUUUUAUUUUCAAUGAAACGUUUGCUAGUUUUGAACAGGGCAGAAGUAAAAUAGCAGAUGUAUGAAAAAAAUCUGAAAAAAAUAUUAAUCCAAUAUAUUUUACAACAGACAAAGUAGUUUUGGCCACUGAGGGGCGCCAAAGGGAGUUUUUUAUUAAACCUGAUGCUACAGAAAAACUGAAAAGGGAAUAAAUUCAAUGAUAUUACUAAUCUUUGACAUAUUCAAGACUUUGAUUACCUGCGGGAGAUCACCAGUUUCUGAUGAUGUUUUUUGAUGUUUAUGUCUGAUUAAAUAUUGGCCACUGAGAGGCACUAAAGGGACAGAAUUUGUCCUGGCUUUAGUAUUGACCCGGUGAAAAUUUUGAAUUCAUGUUUUCAAAGAGUAUGUCAAAUUGAGCAUAAAAAAAAACUCACCAAUACAAACUACGAUCAUAACAACAAGCCAACACAUCAAAAGAACACUUAAACAACAGCUAAACACAGGGGGUAACAAACUCAACAGAUGCAUGCCAAAACACAUGCUCAAAAACCUUCAAACUCGCCAAAACAAACAAUGAUCAUAACAAGAAGCCAAAAUCUUUAAAAGAACACUACAACAACAACUAAACACAAGGGAUUACUAAUUCAACACAUACAUGCCAUAACUCAUGCUCAAAAACCUUCAAACUCUCUAAAAUAAACAAUGUGCAUAACAACAAGCCAAAGUCAUCAAAAUAACACUAAAACAACAGCUUAACGCAUUCAUGCGUUAAGCUGCUCAAAAACCUUCAAAUUUGCCAAAACGAACAAUGUUCAUAACAACAAGCCAAACUCAUCAAAAGAACACUAAAAAAACUGCUUAACGCAUUCACAUGCUCAAAAACCUUCAAAUUCGCCAAAACGAACAAUGUUCAUAACAACAAGCCAGACUCAUCAAAAAAACACUAAAACAGCAGCUUAACACAAGGGUUAACAAAUUCAACACAUUCAUGCCAUUACACUUGCUCAAAAACCUUUAAACUCGCCACGACAAACAAUGUUCAUAACAACAAGCCAAACUCUUUCAAAGAACACUUAAAAUACAUCUUCACACAAGGGAUUACUAAUUCAACACACUCAUGCCAUUACACAUGCUCAAAAACCUUCAAACUCACUAAAAAGAACAUAGUUCAUAACAAAAAGCAAAACUCAUCAAAGAACACAAAAACAAAAGCUUAACACAUUCAUGCCAUUACAUAUGCUCAAAAACCUUCAAACUCGCCAAAAUAAACAAUGCUCAUAACAACAAGCCAAACUCAUCAAAAGAACACUUAAACAACAGCUUAACGCAUUCAUGCCAUUAGACAUGCUCAAAAACCUUCAAACUUGCCAAAGCAAACAAUGCUCAUAACAACAAGCCAAACUCAUCAAAACAACACUAAAACAACAGCUUAACACAAGGGAUUACUAAUUCAACACAUUCAUGCCAUUACACAUGCUCAAAAACCUUCAAACUGGCCAAAACGAACAAUGUUCAUAACAACAAGCCAAACUCAUCAAAAGAACACUAAAACAACAGCUUAACGCAUUCAUGCCAUUACACAUGCUCAAAAACGUUCAAACUCGCCAAAACAAACACUUUUCAUAACAACAAGCCAAACUCAUCAAAAGAACACUAAAACAACAGCUUAACGCAUUCAUGCCAUUACACAUGCUCAAAAACCUUCAAACUCGCCAAAACAAACACUUUUCAUAACAACAAGCCAAACUCAUCAAAAGAACACUAAAACAACAGCUUAACGCAUUCAUGCCAUUACACAUGCUCAAAAACCGUUCAAACUCGCCAAAACAAACACUUUUCAUAACAACAAGCCAAACUCAUCAAAAGAACACUAAAACAACAGCUUAACGCAUUCAUGCCAUUACACAUGCUCAAAAACGUUCAAACUCGCCAAAACAAACACUUUUCAUAACAACAAGCCAAACUCAUCAAAAGAACACUAAAACAACAGCUUAACGCAUUCAUGCCAUUACACAUGCUCAAAAACGUUCAAACUCGCCAAAACAAACACUUUUCAUAACAACAAGCCAAACUCAUCAAAAGAACACUAAAACAACAGCUUAACGCAUUCAUGCCAUUACACAUGCUCAAAAACGUUCAAACUCGCCAAAACAAACACUUUUCAUAACAACAAGCCAAACUCAUCAAAAGAACACUAAAACAACAGCUUAACGCAUUCAUGCCAUUACACAUGCUCAAAAACGUUCAAACUCGCCAAAACAAACACUUUUCAUAACAACAAGCCAAACUCAUCAAAAGAACACUAAAACAACAGCUUAACGCAUUCAUGCCAUUACACAUGCUCAAAAACGUUCAAACUCGCCAAAACAAACACUUUUCAUAACAACAAGCCAAACUCAUCAAAAGAACACUAAAACAACAGCUUAACGGAUUCAUGCCAUUACACAUGCUCAAAAACGUCAAAACUCGCCAAAACAAACACUUUUCAUAACAACAAGCCAAACUCAUCAAAAGAACACUAAAACAACAGCUUAACGCAUUCAUGCCAUUACACAUGCUCAAAAACGUUCAAACUCGCCAAAACAAACACUUUUCAUAACAACAAGCCAAACUCAUCAAAAGAAAACUAAAACAACGGCAUAACACAAGGGAUUACUAAUUCAACACAUUCAUGCCAUUACACAUGCUCAAAAACCUUCAAACUGGCCAAAACGAACAAUGUUCAUAACAACAAGCCAAACUCAUCAAAAGAACACUAAAACAACAGCUUAACGCAUUCAUGCCAUUACACAUGCUCAGAAACGUUCAAACUUGCCAAAACAAACACUUUUCAUAAUAACAAGCCAAACUCAUCAAAAGAACACUAAAACAACAACUUAACGGAUUCAUGCCAUUACACAUGCACAAAAACGUUCGAACUUGCCAAAACAAACACUUUUCAUAACAACAAGCCAAACUCAUCAAAAGAACACUAAAACAACAGCUUAACGCAUUCAUGCCAUUACACAUGCUCAAAAACGUUCAAACUCGCCAAAACAAACACUUUUCAUAACAACAAGCCAAACUCAUCAAAAGAACACUAAAACAACAGCUUAACGCAUUCAUGCCAUUACACAUGCUCAAAAACGUUCAAACUCGCCAAAACAAACACUUUUCAUAACAACAAGCCAAACUCAUCAAAAGAACACUAAAACAACAGCUUAACGCAUUCAUGCCAUUACACAUGCUCAAAAACGUCAAAACUCGCCAAAACAAACACUUUUCAUAACAACAAGCCAAACUCAUCAAAAGAACACUAAAACAACGGCUUAACAACAAGGGAUUACUAAUUCAACACAUUCAUGCCAUUACACAUGCUCAAAAACGUUCAAA